CUGGUGUUAUUUGUUUGUAUUUAGGCCAUAGCUUUUUACUUGGGAAAAAGAAAAGGAAGCCUCUCAAAGAUAAAGUUGGCCAGAGAUGAUCUUCUCAGUUUGAAAAUGAAGACAACCAGAAGGUGAUGCAAUGACUGUUGUCAUGUGCCAAGAGAGAUAUGGGAGAAAGAACAAGCCGAGGCAAGGGGUGAGAUUGACAGCUGGAUUUGAGAUUUUAUUUAUUUAUUUGACAGAGAGAGACAGCCAGCGAGAGAGGGAACACAAG